rnacentral:rRNA from 1 species
ACGCACGCUGGCGGCGUGCUUAACACAUGCAAGUCGAACGGAAAGGCCCUGCUUUUGUGGGGUGCUCGAGUGGCGAACGGGUGAGUAACACGUGAGUAACCUGCCCUUGACUUUGGGUUAACUUCAGGAAACUGGGGCUAAUACCGGAUAGGAGCUCCUGCUGCAUGGUGGGGGUUGGAAAGUUUCGGCGGUUGGGGAUGGACUCGCGGCUUAUCAGCUUGUUGGUGGGGUAGUGGCUUACCAAGGCUUUGACGGGUAGCCGGCCUGAGAGGGUGACCGGCCACAUUGGGACUGAGAUACGGCCCAGACUCCUACGGGAGGCAGCAGUGGGGAAUAUUGCACAAUGGGCGGAAGCCUGAUGCAGCAACGCCGCGUGCGGGAUGACGGCCUUCGGGUUGUAAACCGCUUUCGCCUGUGACGAAGCGUGAGUGACGGUAAUGGGUAAAGAAGCACCGGCUAACUACGUG